AUUUUAUGGAUGGAGAGAAUGAAGCACAGAGAAUUGAAAUGAAUUGCCCAAGGUGACUGUGGUAGCUCGUCUCCAAAGAAACUGGAAUUCGUGGAAAUAUGGAUGAUUCCAUGUCUGAAGAAGGAAACGUAUAAGGCGAGUCUGGAACAUUAUGUUACGUCAGAAAGCAGGGAAGCUGUUAAAGACUAAUAUGGUGUACCUAAAGGGCUUUGAAAUAAACCUGAAUUGGAUCACACUGGCUGAAGAUGGGAUAAUUUUGAGCAUCGAGAACUCAUUUCCCAUCCUCAGGUUUAUUCCAGGAAGUUUCAGAUGAUGGAAUACACUGGUAGGAGACCGUAGGGUGGGAAGAGGGAGAAACCCACCUGAGCUUCAGGUGGCAUUUCCAAGGGGAGCUAUGUCCUUAAGUGGAGAGGACCUGGGACGUGACCUGGAAGUCAGAGGUUGGACAAAGCGGGAGACUUCCUUAGACUACAUAAGAAUGAAAAGCCAGGGCCAGGCUCUGUGCAGAUUAUGGAGAUAUUCUUUCUUCAGUACAGACCUCCAGAUAACCAGAAGACAUGGUGCUAAUGUUUCCCCAGCCUCUUAUGAACAGAAGCAGCUGGGGAACUCAGGCAGCGCUGGCUUGCCGCUCCUGGAAGUUUGGCCUCCUGGGAGGAGGGGGCAGAGACCAAGUUCUGCUUGGAGUGUAUUCUUUGCCUUGAGUUUGAAGCUCCAUGGGGAAACUACUGCCAAAGCUCCAACUCCUGUGUGCUCUGGAAAACAUUUCAUUCUCCUCAAAGCUAUUUUUCAAACAUGAGAAAAGGUUCAAAAAACCCCCAAACCUGUCUGCAUUGCUGAGCCCCUUGGAGUUAAAGCCACUACAUCUAUAAUGUGGAGUCCACGGAGGUGCAAAACCUGGAAACCAGGCCAAGCUGGAAGAACAGAGAGGUCCUGAAG
rnacentral:lncRNA from 1 species